rnacentral:snoRNA from 1 species
GUGAAGAGCUAAGGGUCUUCUGAUAUGUGAAGAAAUGCCCAGGCGGA